rnacentral:rRNA from 1 species
GAUGAACGCUGGCGGCGUGCCUAAUACAUGCAAGUCGAGCGAACAGACGAGGAGCUUGCUCCUCUGACGUUAGCGGCGGACGGGUGAGUAACACGUGGAUAACCUACCUAUAAGACUGGGAUAACUUCGGGAAACCGGAGCUAAUACCGGAUAAUAUAUUGAACCGCAUGGUUCAAUAGUGAAAGACGGUUUUGCUGUCACUUAUAGAUGGAUCCGCGCCGCAUUAGCUAGUUGGUAAGGUAACGGCUUACCAAGGCGACGAUGCGUAGCCGACCUGAGAGGGUGAUCGGCCACACUGGAACUGAGACACGGUCCAGACUCCUACGGGAGGCAGCAGUAGGGAAUCGGCCGCAAUGGGCGAAAGCCUGACGGAGCAACGCCGCGUGAGUGAUGAAGGUCUUCGGAUCGUAAAACUCUGUUAUUAGGGAAGAACAAAUGUGUAAGUAACUAUGCACGUCUUGACGGUACCUAAUCAGAAAGCCACGGCUAACUACGUG